rnacentral:rRNA from 1 species
UAGGGAAUCUUCCACAAUGGACGCAAGUCUGAUGGAGCAACGCCGCGUGAGUGAAGAAGGGUUUCGGUUCGUAAAGCUCUGUUGUUAAAGAAGAACGUGGGUAAGAGUAACUGUUUACCCAGUGACGGUAUUUAACCAGAAAGCCACGGCUAACUACGUGCCAG